AUGGCUUUAAUUACAGCUCUUCUGGGCUCUGGUCUACAGCAUCUCCGUCUGCUCGUCAGGGGAGGCUGGGGGGUGGCGAGGGGGCCGGCGGGCUGGGUGAAGGGCCGGGGUUCCCGGACAGCCUUGCCAAGACUCUGGCUGGUGCCAAGCCCAGGGCAGCCGCGGCCAAGGCCGGGCUGGGGCGGGGGCUGCUGCUGGGCUCCGUCCAGGCCACUCGGGGCAGGCGGGCGGGCGGUGGUCUCCCUCCCUCCUCCCCCGCCGGCCACCCGCCCGCCUGCCUCAGACACAAAAUGGCGGAGGGCUGCGGCGGCCAUUUUGUGGAGCCCCAGAAAGACAAAGGCAGCCAACAGCCCGGGGCAGGGACGGGCCCCGCAGCGGCAGGGAGGGGUAACGUCCACUCCGGAAGUGCGGCCGCCUGUCCUGCGUGGAGGCCCAGGGGGACCUGGCCAGAAAAAGUUGGGGGGGGGGCAGGCAGUGCCUUCUCUGGAAGCUUCCUCCUGCCCAAGCUCCCGCCACCCUGAGCUUACCCUCUCGAGGGGCUCGGGGUGGUCUGGGGAGAAGCUCUUGCCCAGGGCGGUGGCACUGACGCUCUCCCGCCUUACGGAGGAGACGGCCCGGCUCGGGGCGGCGAUGCGGGGAGGCAGGCGAGAGUGUAGGCUCAUGGCCUCCUUCCACAGGAAAAUCCUCCUUUGCCCCAGACCCUCGAAGGGUGGUCUUCAUUUGCCUGGUGGCGGGGUGGCCUCUGACCAGAUGGCCGGAGGGGCUGGCCCGCAUUCCGGGGACAUCCCAGCACAUCCCACCCCGGGGUCCAGGCUGCCGGCUUCUUCCUGCCCAUUGCUGGCAGGCGCAGGGACAGCUGGCAGGACCGGCCGUGCCAGGGCAGCGCCGGGGGCGGGGACACCGGGGAGACCGGCCCCAGCCCCUCCCCGACCUCCCACAGCACCCAGGGCCCUGCCCGACGGGACCCCGAGCCACGUCCCAAACCUGGAGGCUCCUGUUCUGCCUCCGUCCGGUGACAGCCCACCUCCCGUUCGUGUCCCCUCUGGGGAGCCCCUGCCCACGUCCUGUGGGCGAGAGGCGCUGCCCCAUCAAACACCCGCUGGACAGGAAGCCCCCUCUGCCGCACCGUCCGAUGGGCGGUGGGUACACCCCAAGGGCCCACGUCUUUCCGACUCUGUGCUGCCCGUGGUCUCCGCACCUUUAGCACGUCUCGCUCAGAACCCCAGGUGGAAGGCAGAUACACGCAGGACUGCUCCGGGGGCCCUGGGCCCAGGCACAGGCCACCCCUCCCUGACUGUGCAGAGGCAAAGCCUGGGCCCAGGCCAAUCCCACUUUACAGACGGGCAGACUGAGACCAAGGGUCCGGGGAGACGGUCCUCUCUCACACAGCUGGGGCCUUGUGCUCUGACGGGGACAGGCUGA
rnacentral:lncRNA from 1 species